GGAAACGACUGCUAAUACCGCAUAAUGUCUACGGACCAAACGGGGCUUCGGCUCCGGCGCAAAGAGAGGCCCAAGUGAUAUUAGCUAGUUGGUGAGGUAAAGGCUCACCAAGGCGACGAUCUCUAGCUGUUCUGAGAGGAAGAUCAGCCACACUGGGACUGAGACACGGCCCAGACUCCUACGGGAGGCAGCAGUGGGGAACAUUGCACAAUGGGGGAAACCCUGAUGCAGCCAUGCCGCGUGUGUGAAGAAGGCCUUCGGGUUGUAAAGCACUUUCAGUUGUGAGGAAAAGUUGGUAGUUAAUACCUGCCAGCCGUGACGUUAACAACAGAAGAAGCACCGGCUAACUCCGUGCCAGCAGCCGCGGUAAUACGGAGGGUGCGAGCGUUAAUCGGAAUUACUGGGCGUAAAGCGCACGCAGGCGGUUUGUUAAGCUAGAUGUGAAAGCCCC
rnacentral:rRNA from 1 species